GACGAACGCUGGCGGCGUGCUUAACACAUGCAAGUCGAGCGGUAAGGCCCUUCGGGUACGACGAGCGGCGAACGGGUGAGUAACACGUGGGUGACCUGCCUCUAGCUCUGGGAGUAAGCCUGGGAAACGUGGGUCUAAUACCGGAUAUGACUCCACGGCGCAUGUUGUGGGGUGGAAAGCCUUGUGUGGCUAGAGAUGGGCCCGCGGCCUAUCAGCUUGUUGGUGGGGUGAUGGCCUACCAA
rnacentral:rRNA from 1 species